rnacentral:rRNA from 1 species
CCUACGGGAGGCAGCAGUGGGGAAUAUUGGGCAAUGGGCGCAAGCCUGACCCAGCAACGCCGCGUGAAGGAAGAAGGCUUUCGGGUUGUAAACUUCUUUUGUCAGGGAAGAGUAGAAGACGGUACCUGACGAAUCAGCCACGGCUAACUACGUGCCAGCAGCCGCGGUAAUACGUAGGUGGCAAGCGUUGUCCGGAUUUACUGGGUGUAAAGGGCGGGUAGCCGGGUUGACAAGUCAGAUGUGAAAUCCUGCGGCUUAACCGCAGAACUGCAUUUGAAACUGUGGAUCUUGAGUACUGGAGAGGCAGACGGAAUUCCUAGUGUAGCGGUGAAAUGCGUAGAUAUUAGGAGGAACACCAGUGGCGAAGGCGGUCUGCUGGACAGCAACUGACGGUGAGGCGCGAAAGCGUGGGGAGCAAACAGGAUUAGAUACCCUUGUAGUC